CGCAUAUGGCACCUGCCAGCCCUGCUGGAAGGUAUGCCUGUUUGAGAAUCAUAUCCAUACAUUCAUCUGACCGAUUGCACCCACCCACCCCCCACCCACAUGGAUGGAUGGAUGGUGGUGAUUGGUCGACAUGGGCCUUCACCACUGAUCGCCCCGAAUUGCUCGCGAUCGUCGUGGUAAGCAGCGAGGGAGUGUGAGUGAGUGAGCGAGUGACAUCACCCACCCACCCACCACCACCCACCAAGCACUGUCGACGAUCAGCAACCCCCACACUCAUGAUCUCAAAUCAGGCAAGGCUACCCGCUGAACUUAA
rnacentral:misc_RNA from 1 species